rnacentral:lncRNA from 1 species
AAAAAGAGCUUCAUAUAUACAUACACAUGAUUGCAUAUUUCAAGAAUAAUCUAUAGAUUGCAUAAAAUAGAGAUUCUAGAAUCAUAUUUGACUAAAGGUAUAAUUAUUUUCAUUUUAUUUCUUGACAGUUAUCCUGGAAACUGAGCAAUAAAUUCAUGAAAUUGACUGUCUAAAUUUAGUCUUCCAUGAAUAAUGUGUAGAAUUGAAAAUCUGGAGCAGGACAGAAGUUGUUUGAUGCUCUGACUUCCAGGGGUGGUUCUCAGCCCCGCUUUGCCAGGCUGUUGGCUGUAGCAGACGAAGGCACUACCAGACUAAUAAU